CUAGUAAAAAAUUCAAUUGCAGUAAUUAGACAUUUAAAUUUACGUAAUUGUGACACCAAUCACGCAAAAAUUUUGUAGGCAUUAGAUUUAAAAAAUAAAUCUCUUUAAAAUGGAUCACAUUUGCAGGCCUAACAAGAAGCGAAUUUGGUGGCCGUUUUUACGAGUGCCCGACGGCCUUGUAUACAUGUAGAUCCCCACCCAACGUGAACAGUAAAGCGUCCGGUUUGUUUGUUUACGUUUAAAAGCAAAAUGCCUGGAGAAGUUAAAAUGUAAGACGAAACUGAGACUUUCACAUUCCAGGCCAAGAUUGCUCAGCUUAUGAGCUUGAUUAUCAACACCUUCUAUAGUUUAUCUCCAACUCCUCAAAUGCCCUAGACAAGAUCCGUUAUGAAUCCCUGACUGACCCAAGCAAGUUGGACAGCGGUAAGGAUCUUAAAAUCAAGAUUGUCCCCAACAAGGAUGACUGUAGUCUCACUCUCAUGUAAAUUGGUAUCGGCAUGAUCAAGGCUGAUUUGGUUAAAAACUUGGGUACUAUUGCCAAGUCUGGAACUAAAGCUUUCAUGGAAGCCCUCUCUGCCGGAGCUGACAUCUCCAUGAUUGGUCAGUUUGGUGUGGGUUUCUACUCUGCUUACGGAAAAGAAAGAAAAAAAGAAAGAAGAAGAAGAGAUUGAAAAAGAGAAUCCAGCACACACACAGCACAGUGCAGCUCACUGUGUCAUCAAUGACCAAGCAAAAAGGGAAAAUGAGAAAACCCUCCAGCACCAGCAGCAGCAGCAGCCCUGGCCACACAGCUUGUCUCACAAGAGCACAGCACCUGGUAGUUCCAUUUUUCCCCCUUCAGUCGAACCCACAGUCGAACCAGGCCUUUAUUUUCUCCUUGAUCUCUUAUUCUCCUCCAUCCUCCUGCGCAAUUCUCUCCAUUUGUCUGUGUACAUAAUAGCCGACAGCAUCUCUUUCAAUAGGCCUAGACAUAUAAUAAUAAACCGCGCUGUUGUACUACA